rnacentral:rRNA from 1 species
ACCGCCUGGGGAGUACGGCCGCAAGGUUAAAACUCAAAUGAAUUGACGGGGGCCCGCACAAGCGGUGGAGCAUGUGGUUUAAUUCGAUGCAACGCGAAGAACCUUACCUGGUCUUGACAUCCACAGAACUUUCCAGAGAUGGAUUGGUGCCUUCGGGAACUGUGAGACAGGUGCUGCAUGGCUGUCGUCAGCUCGUGUUGUGAAAUGUUGGGUUAAGUCCCGCAACGAGCGCAACCCUUAUCCUUUGUUGCCAGCGGUCCGGCCGGGAACUCAAAGGAGACUGCCAGUGAUAAACUGGAGGAAGGUGGGGAUGACGUCAAGUCAUCAUGGCCCUUACGACCAGGGCUACACACGUGCUACAAUGGCGCAUACAAAGAGAAGCGACCUCGCGAGAGCAAGCGGACCUCAUAAAGUGCGUCGUAGUCCGGAUUGGAGUCUGCAACUCGACUCCAUGAAGUCGGAAUCGCUAGUAAUCGUAGAUCAGAAUGCUACGGUGAAUACGUUCCCGGGCCUUGUACACACCGCCCGUCACACCAUGGGAGUGGGUUGCAAAAGAAGUAGGUAGCUUAACCUUCGGGAGGGCGCUACCACUUUGAUCAU